rnacentral:rRNA from 1 species
UACGUAGGGUGCGAGCGUUAAUCGGAAUUACUGGGCGUAAAGCGUGCGCAGGCGGCGCGUUAAGACAGGUGUGAAAGCCCCGAGCUUAACUUGGGAAUUGCGCUUGUGACUGGCGUGCUGGAGUGUGGCAGAGGGAGGUGGAAUUCCACGUGUAGCAGUGAAAUGCGUAGAGAUGUGGAGGAACACCGAUGGCGAAGGCGCUGCUCUGGGCCGAAACUGACGCUGAGGAGCGAAAGCGUGGGUAGCAAACAGG